AUAAAUCCCAUAAUAAAGGAUCGUAGAAAAAAUGAGUAUCAAAUGAUAGUUAAGAGAUGAAUAAUCAUUUCCUUGUAAUGCAAUAACAAGAAAUAGUUCAUUGCCCCCCAAAAAAUUGUAAUUAACCUACCUUUGUUGAGUGGAUCUUCUGCGUUUGGUGACAAGAAUAAAAAUUGCAAUCCAACCAAAAUAGAAUUCAAAUUCAACACUGGAUUCCAAUCCUGACGCAGAAUAUUGAGGCAUACGUUUCCCUCAAUAUCGAUAUUUGGGUGAUAGAUCUAACAGUAGGUCAGAACGAAAGGGUUCAAAACAUGUUAUAAUGGUUAUUUUCUUAAAUGCAAAAAAUAUACCAUAAGCUGCAACUCUAAUUUAGAGCAUGACUGACAUACUUUGUUUAGACAUUUAACCUUAGGAGGAUCAUGAGGAUAAUUAUCGUCGAUUUGGAUUCGAAAUUUAAAUUUCCCACCCUUGUAAUACCCUUUUCAUGUUAAUCAAAAUAAAAAAUAAUAGUCUCAAAAAGUCUACACCAAAUAUUCUUUCAUGCGGAAUCACAAACUUACCUUCGUCAGGCCGGAUUUCUAAAUGUAGCACGUUCAAUUUUAUAGGAUCUGGCCAGCUUGUAGACAUCGUAGAUGGGAUUUCUAAAUCUGUAACGUCUAAAUUCAUCGAAAAUGGUUAGUUUCGAGUAAAUCGCGAAAAGUUAUCAACAUGAUGAGUCGCACCUUUUUGGAUUCGGAUUUGUGCUGGACUAAUCCCUGACGCAUUUUUCUCUUUUUGAGCUUCUUUCUUUUUUAAUUCCCAAAUUUUUCUCAUGAUUUACGCGAUUCUUGUAAUAGGCAGAAGGAUGGAAAAUGCGCUUACAAUUUUGGGUAUAAACAAUACUCUCAUACAUCAUUAAAAAAUAGCGAAACAUGUAGACACCUAAAGUGCUAAUAAUGUGGCAUUUU